AUUCACCAUCCCUAAUUCUUUCGCAGUCCAUAACUCAGCGAAGGCAGCGGCAAUCCAUAACAGCGGCGACCGUAAACAAACUCUCUAAUUGGAUAGUGGAGGUUAAGCCUGUCCCUCUAACCCAUCCCACAUUGAUAGGAGUUCUCAGGGCUCUUGUCCUCAUAUUUUGCUCAAAAGACCCUCUGGUUCCGGGAAAAGAGAACUAGCAAUGGCUCUUCUUCGAGAAAUAUAUGGUGAUGCGUGUUAUAAUGUGUGUUUCUUCCCAUACCAUAUUUUUCCUUCUAAGUGUGUUCUAUAUUCCUAAGCUGACCUUAUCAGACCCUUUCGCAGUUGUUCCAUGAUUUAAGACGUCAGGACCAAAGACCUCUGAUAAAGCUUCUGUCCCAAUAACGUCCAGUUCUCAUCACAUGGAGCUCAAUGUAAAAACAAGAACCAAAUGCUAAAUAUGCUUUAAUGGGAUUAAUCAAAGAAAUUAGCCAUAUAUAUGUUAUUACCCCCGAAGUCAGCAAUAUUAAUUUCAAGUCAGAUUAUAAAGGAUCAUCAUGGCAAGGGCUGAGAAUAAGAUUGGAGCAAGAUUUUAGUACCUUUUUUAUCCUUUUCUUUUUUCCAGCAGAAACAAGUAUUUGUAUUCAAAUGUACUAUGUGAUAAACCAUCUUUGUUAAGUAUCAAUCAAUUGAAGCAUGAAUAGUAUGAGUGUAUU